rnacentral:lncRNA from 1 species
CUGCAUUUCUGCCUUGUCCACCAGUUACUCGUCCCAUGUGGCCUGCUACACAGUGUGCAGGAUGGAUGGCCUGGGUCCUACCUGUCUCCUGGCACUCACGUUGUUAGCUCCUAUUACACUGUGUGUGCACUUCAGAAAUGUAUACACAUUGAAGUGAAAUAAGUCAUCUCUAGGGCAGUUUAGAAAAGGAUGGGAAACGCUUGCUUUUUAGAAAACACUAGUGUUAAAAUCAACUGAAACCUGAUGGUUGGGGAAGUCGUUUGCUUGGAGCAGAGAAGCACAUCUGCCAGCUUCUUGACCAGGCUUCUCAAACCCGCAUCGGAGGAACCUAAUUCCUGAGCCACUGAGAAGUUCCGUGGUGCAACUUUGCUUGCUUUUUCGCAUCACUCAUGGCUAGCUUAGCAUUCAGCUUUCUUAGGUCUACAAAUGAGUUGUCGCUCGUAACUGCUUUCAGCUUCUAAACCUUUCCUGCUGUUGUUUUGGCUCCUAUCAUCCUUGUCCUUCUGGGUUUAUGCCUUUGUAUAUAACAGUCUUUACUGUUUUAGUGGGAUUUUGUAGUUUUUUCUUCCAAAAUUUAAAAAUUCUAGUUAGUUAACAUAUAGUGUAUUAGUUUCAGGAGUAAGAUUUAGUGAUUCAUCACUUAGACCUAAAACCCAGUGCUCAUCGUAACAAGUGCUCUCCUUAAUACCCAUCACUCAUUUAGCUCACUUCCCACCUAAGUCCCUCCACCAACCUGGUUUGUUCUUUAAGAGUCUCUUAUGGUUUGCUUUCCUCUCUCUUUUUCUUCUUAGUGGGAUU